rnacentral:rRNA from 1 species
GAUGAACGCUAGCUACAGGCUUAACACAUGCAAGUCGAGGGGUAACGAGAGGAAAGCUUGCUUUCCUUGUCGACGACCGGCGCACGGGUGAGUAACGCGUAUCCAACCUGCCCCCAACUAAGGAAUAACCUUGCGAAAGUAAGACUAAUACCUUAUACUUUCCUCAGAUGACAUCUGACGAGGAAUAAAGAUUUAUCGGUUGUGGAUGGGGAUGCGUCUGAUUAGCUUGUUGGCGGGGUAACGGCCCACCAAGGCAACGAUCAGUAGGGGUUCUGAGAGGAAGGUCCCCCACAUUGGAACUGAGACACGGUCCAAACUCCUACGGGAGGCAGCAGUGAGGAAUAUUGGUCAAUGGGCGGAAGCCUGAACCAGCCAAGUAGCGUGCAGGAUGACGGCCCUAUGGGUUGUAAACUGCUUUUAUACAGGAAUAAAGUUAGCCACGUGUGGUUAUUUGUAGGUACUGUAUGAAUAAGGACCGGCUAAUUCCGUGCCAGCCGCCGCUGUAA